GUGCUCGCUUCGGCAGCACAUAUACUAAAAUUGGAAUGAUACAGAAAAGAUUAGCAUGGCCCCUGCACAAGGAUGACACACAAAUUUGUGAAGUGUUCCAUAUUUUU
rnacentral:snRNA from 1 species